GGCAAUAACAGGUCUGUGAUGCCCUUA
rnacentral:ncRNA from 2 species